AAGCGGACGAAUUCCUGAAACCUUUUCUGGUCUGUCAAAAGUAGAUUACAUUUAUCUAACUGGAAACUCAUUAACUGGUCCAUUACCUCCUUGGAUGCUGGAAGUAGGAGAUGAUAACAUUGAUCUAUCCUACAACAACCUCACAUCUGAAAGCAGACCCACAAAUUGUCAGCAGGGAACCCUGAAUUUGUUUGCAAGCUCAAAGGGCAAUACAACGUGAGUUCCUUUGUUUCUUUAAUGCUGUGUUCCCAAUGAUAU